rnacentral:tRNA from 9 species
UGGCCCGUUGGUCAAGUGGUUAAGACACCGCCCUUUCACGGCGGUAAAACGGGUUCGAAUCCCGUACGGGUCACCAC